GACGAACGCUGGCGGCGUGCUUAACACAUGCAAGUCGAACGAUGAAGCCCAGCUUGCUGGGUGGAUUAGUGGCGAACGGGUGAGUAACACGUGAGUAACCUGCCCUUCACUCUGGGAUAACUCCGGGAAACCGGUGCUAAUACUGGAUAUGACUACUUCCCGCAUGGGAUGGUGGUGGAAAGUUUUUUCGGUGGAGGAUGGACUCGCGGCCUAUCAGCUUGUUGGUGGGGUAAUGGCCUACCAAGGCGACGAGGGGUAGCCGGCCUGAGAGGGCGACCGGCCACACUGGGACUGAGACACGGCCCAGACUCCUACGGGAGGCAGCAGUGGGGAAUAUUGCACAAUGGGCGGAAGCCUGAUGCAGCGACGCCGCGUGAGGGAUGACGGCCUUCGGGUUGUAAACCUCUUUCAGCUCUGACGAAGCUUUUUGUGACGGUAGGAGCAGAAGAAGCACCGGCUAACUACGUGCCAGCCGCCGCCGUAAAAC
rnacentral:rRNA from 1 species